GGGCACGUGGCGGAAUUGGUAUACGCGUACGUUUCAGAAGCGUAUGGAGCGAUCCAUGGGAGUUCAAGUCUCCCCGUGCCCA
rnacentral:tRNA from 1 species